rnacentral:rRNA from 1 species
GAGUUUGAUCAUGGCUCAGAUUGAACGCUGGCGGCAUGCCUUACACAUGCAAGUCGAACGGCAGCACGGGAGCUUGCUCCUGGGUGGCGAGUGGCGAACGGGUGAGUAAUGCAUCGGAACGUAUCCUGGAGUGGGGGAUAACGUAGCGAAGGUUACGCUAAUACCGCAUAUUCUGUGAGCAGGAAAGCGGGGGACCUUCGGGCCUCGCGCUCUUGGAGCGGCCGAUGUCGGAUUAGCUAGUUGGUGAGGUAAAGGCUCACCAAGGCGACGAUCCGUAGCAGGUCUGAGAGGAUGAUCUGCCACACUGGAACUGAGACACGGUCCAGACUCCUACGGGAGGCAGCAGUGGGGAAUUUUGGACAAUGGGGGCAACCCUGAUCCAGCCAUGCCGCGUGAGUG